AUGACGCUGGCGGCAGGCCUAACACAUGCAAGUCGUAGCGGCAGCACGGGUACUUGUACCUGGUGGCGAGCGGCGGACGGGUGAGUAAUGCCUAGGAAUCUGCCUGGUAGUGGGGGAUAACGCUCGGAAACGGACGCUAAUACCGCAUACGUCCUACGGGAGAAAGCAGGGGACCUUCGGGCCUUGCGCUAUCAGAUGAGCCUAGGUCGGAUUAGCUAGUUGGUGAGGUAAUGGCUCACCAAGGCGACGAUCCGUAACUGGUCUGAGAGGAUGAUCAGUCACACUGGAACUGAGACACGGUCCAGACUCCUACGGGAGGCAGCAGUGGGGAAUAUUGGACAAUGGGCGAAAGCCUGAUCCAGCCAUGCCGCGUGUGUGAAGAAGGUCUUCGGAUUGUAAAGCACUUUAAGUUGGGAGGAAGGGCAGUUACCUAAUACGUGAUUGUUUUGACGUUACCGACAGAAUAAGCACCGGCUAACUCUGUGCCAGCAGCCGCGGUAAU
rnacentral:rRNA from 1 species